rnacentral:rRNA from 1 species
UACGUAGGGGCCUAGCGUUGUCCGGAUUUAUUGGGCGUAAAGAGCUCGUAGGCGGCUUGUCGCGUCGACUGUGAAAACCCGCGGCUCAACUGCGAGCCUGCAGCCGAUACGGGCAGGCUAGAGUUCGGUAGGGGAGUCUGGAAUUCCUGGUGUAGCGGUGAAAUGCGCAGAUAUCAGGAGGAACACCGGUGGCGAAGGCGGGACUCUGGGCCGAUACUGACGCUGAGGAGCGAAAGCGUGGGGAGCAAACAGG